GAUGAACGCUGACAGAAUGCUUAACACAUGCAAGUCAACUUGAAUUUGGGUUUUUAACUUAGGUUGGGGUGGCGGACGGGUGAGUAACGCGUAAAGAACUUGCCUCACAGUUAGGGACAACAUUUGGAAACGAAUGCUAAUACCUGAUAUUAUGAUAAUAGGGCAUCCCAUAAUUAUGAAAGCUAUAAGCGCUGUGAGAGAGCUUUGCGUCCCAUUAGCUAGUUGGAGAGGUAACGGCUCACCAAGGCGAUGAUGGGUAGCCGGCCUGAGAGGGUGAUCGGCCACAAGGGGACUGAGACACGGCCCUUACUCCUACGGGAGGCAGCAGUGGGGAAUAUUGGACAAUGGACCGAGAGUCUGAUCCAGCAAUUCUGUGUGCACGAUGAAGUUUUUCGGAAUGUAAAGUGCUUUCAGUUGGGAAGAAAAAAAUG
rnacentral:rRNA from 1 species